GGAUCAGUGAGUUCAUUAUUACAGAUAAUUAUGGAAACUGUUAGUGAUUCAUGUUUUCGAAUUUUGAUGAAAGAAAAACGUUUGGGAAAACUGGAUGAGCUUGGUGUGGUCCAUGAAGCGGAUCUUGCACUAGUUACGGAAGGAUGACAUUCUAAAGGCCAUAGAUGUGCACAAGCGUAGUACACAUUUUAUAAAAGCAAAAUGUGAACAAAAAACACUCCAGAAACUUUAUUCCCAUUUCAAGCCUAGGAGAUUUAUCCAGUCCAGAGCGAAACUCAAGUCAAGAAGAGUACCUUGAUCUUCUAUCACAGAAGACAUUUUUUGCCAACAC